rnacentral:misc_RNA from 1 species
AAGACAGUCUGUGCCUUGUUUGCAUUUGUUUGGCGAUGCAACCGAAGCCUGAGCGACUAAUGGCGCAAAACGACAACAGAGAGCUCCAAGCAAUGCCUUUUCACGAAUUGAAUCGAAAUCAAUUAUUUCAAGAACGCGGUUGUGUUCGUUUCACGGGAAAUCGGUUCCCAUGGAAUCAUUUACGGCGUCUUCUAGGUUCCAAUUCCGUGACCACCAGCAACCGGAGGAUGCAACAGAUUCCGAUGCCAGUUCCGACAUCUCCU